CAAGGAUGGUGUUCAGGCCACAAUGUGUCUAUAGCUAUUACCACUUCAGAGAUGUACAGAGAAGUACCAGACAGCUGUAGUGUUUACUAAGGGGCUCUAAGCUCAAGUAUUAUGAGCUUCAUGAGAUGGCACCAGAGACUUAAAUUGUCCAAGUUGCUAAGAGCAGAUACCAGGAAGGAAAUCUAUGGUAGCGCUGCCAGGCUUCACAAGUUCAGUGCUAUGACCCUUCUGGGGUUAAAUUGAAGGUAUUUCCUGAAAGAAAAUGGGUCAUUACUGAAGACAGACCCUCACACCUACCCUUCACUUAAUUUCCUUCCAUGAGGCAUUAUUCCCGGGAAGAAAUAAAUUCCCUUUCCAGUUUUCUCUC